rnacentral:rRNA from 1 species
GUCCACGCCGUAAACGAUGUCGACUAGCCGUUGGAGGACUUGAUUCUUCAGUGGCGUAGCUAACGCGCUAAGUCGACCGCCUGGGGAGUACGGCCGCAAGGUUAAAACUCAAAUGAAUUGACGGGGACCCCGCACAAGCGGUGGAGUAUGUGGUUUAAUUCGACGCAACGCGAAGAACCUUACCUGCUCUUGACAUGUCGAGAACUUUCCAGAGAUGGAUUGGUGCCUUCGGGAACUCGAACACAGGUGCUGCAUGGCUGUCGU